rnacentral:lncRNA from 1 species
ACAAGACAUCAGACUUGAAUCAAAGGUACUCACCAAUGCUCAGAUACUUGGAGAUGUUGAGUACGAAGAAAAGAUGGAGAGAGGUUUGUAAAAUUCUUGUAUAUUGCUAUGAUUUUUUUUUAUGUUUGCUAACACUAACUUUUGCAUUACUUGAACAGAGUAUGAACAUCUAUCACAGCCACGAGACUAGAGGACUAAGCUAAUAUAGAUUUGGUUCAAGGUAAGAGGUAAAACAUGUUAUAAAUUUUAUACGUGUGUUGCAUUUCUUUUGCUUGUCUACUCUACUAAUAUUUAAAAUUGUUUCUUUUUGGUGUCACAGAUGGCUUUCAAGUUUCUUAAGUUUGCAUGGUUUUUUUGAUUCAUGUUUUCGGGUGAAGACUCAAAACUCUAUGAUUUUUGUUUAAGUUUGG